GUCUCCUUAAUGCUGACAAUGAUAUUUGUUUCUAUGUGAACAAUGGGAAAAAUAUAAGCUUUUAUUAACUUUGUUUAUUUAAUGCCAUAUUCUAUUAUAAAAAGAAGUGUGGUUAUUUAAAAAAAAAAGUGUGUGAUUGGAGAAGCCUAGAAAUGCAGAAUAGAAUUCCUUUGAAUUGGGGCUUGAUUCAGCUAUAAACUGCUCUGGAGGUUACAUUCUGGGUUCUCAAGGGCUAAGUCAUAGGCCUCAAAGCUGCUAACUUAUUUCUUGGAACCUACCUACUUAGAGAGUUUUUGUAGCCCUGAGCCUCUGUAUAAGAAGUUUGACUGCCCUGAGACCACCAUGAUGAAGAGGCAUAUACAUUGGGGCUCUGACUGAUAACCUGAUUGAGUCAUCCCUGCCAGGGCACCAACAUAGGUUGUUAUGGUCUGAGUGUUGUGUUCUCCUCAAAUUCAUAUAUUGAAACUUAAUCACCAAUGUGGUGGCUGUAGGAAAUUGUCCUUUGGAGAGCUGAUUAAAUCAUGAAGAUGGCAUCUUUCAUCAUGUGAGGACUCAGAAAGAAAUCCCCAUCUAUUAACCAGGAAAUACUGAAUCUGCUAGGAUCUUGAUCUUAGGACUUCCAGCCUCCAGAACUGUGAGAUACAAAUUUCUGUUUAUAAGCUACCUGGCCUAUGAUUUUGUUAUUAAAACAGCCUGAAUGGAUGAAGACAUUGAUGAAGCCAUCUAGACCCUUUGGACCAGGCUAUUUGUCUUCCUUCAGCUAAAUUGCUUUGAGUGACCCCAGCUGAUGCCACAUGAGACUGAAAAAAAAAAUUGCUCAACCGAGCCUGCGUGAAGUUCCAAUGUGUAAAAUUAGGAGAUAUAACAAUAAAAUGGUUGUUGUUUCAAGUUACUAAGUUUUGGUGG
rnacentral:lncRNA from 1 species